CGAGGUCAUGACAGAGCAUACGUCAAAAUUACUGACUCAGUUCUAACUUGCUGGUGUGAAGCCAAGGAAAAGGAUCCCGCAAGGCCCCUGGCUCUGUACCCUCCAGCUAAGCUGCAGCUAUUCUGGUGGAAUUAACUGAAGUCUUGCAUCAAAUGUGGAUUUCCUGAUGUCUGAGAUAUUUCAUUGUGAUUGGGAAUUUCAACUGAACCUCAAUGGGAAUUGAAAAAGAGAGAGGACGGUGCUUGCUCCUAGAAAAACACAAAGCCUUUGAGAGCUGGAGACCUGCACAGGAAAGCUGGACCUGGAACUGUAAAAUGAAAACUAAGGGAGGCAUUUUAUGUGUUAACCCAAUCUUCAAUCAAAGAACUACAGGGCAAAAGCAUUACAAUCGACAGUGUAAUAUUCCUUCACAAUCCAAAUUGUUCAGGAAGCCUUUUGAUUCUUCAGAUCAUGGAAUAUGUUUAAAUCUACACGGGAAGAAAACACAGCACAAAACCGAUUCACUGGGUUUACCACCACAACAUGCAGCUGAGGACUUUCAGGGAUUAUCAAUUCUUCCUGCGUCUGCGGAAGGUAAAGGGAUGGUUUAGUCAACCAAGAAGUGGCAGAAGCAAGGCCCUUCCUACAAAAAAGCUGCAAACUUCAAAUUACUAGAAACAAAUAUAAAAUUGUGAUCUUCUGGAAGAACAGCAAUGAAACAGU